AUUCUAGAGCUAAUACAUGCGUAAAUGCCCGACUUUUUGGAAGGGCAGUAUUUAUUAGAUAUCAAGCCAGCGACCUUCGGGUGUUGUGGUGAAUCAUAGUAACUUAGCGGAUCGGCUGGGCGUUUGCCCACGACAAACCAUUCAAGUUUCUGCCCCAUCAGCUUUCGAUGGUAGUGUAUUGGACUACCAUGGCUUUUACGGGUGACGGAGGAUUAGGGUUCGAUUCCGGAGAGGGAGCCUGAGAAACGGCUACCACAUCCAAGGAAGGCAGCAGGCGCGUAAAUUACCCAAUCCUGACUCAGGGAGGUAGUG
rnacentral:rRNA from 1 species